GGGUAAUAAAACCUAAAGGCGAAACAAAAGUAAAGAAAGCUUUGCUUUUUAAGGGAAGAUGGUUAAAUUUUAGCCCGCACUCCCGGGGCGUUAAUUACUCAUUGCGAGUAAAGGCGCACCUAGAGCGUACAUGUUGGGUCCCGAAAGAUGGUGAACUAUACCUGACCAGGUUGAAGCCAGGGGAAACCCUGGUGGAGGACCGUAGCGAUUCUGACGUGCAAAUCGAUCGUCGGAGUUAGGUAUAGGGGCGAAAGACUAAUCGAACCAUCUAGUAGCUGGUUCCCUCCGAAGUUUCCCUCAGGAUAGCUGGUGCCGAUGAUGAUCAGAGUCUCAUCUGGUAAAGCGAAUNUUAUAGGCCUUGGGUUGAACGCCUCGCCUUUCUCGGACUUUAAAAAGCAAAGCUUUUCUUUACUUUUGUU
rnacentral:rRNA from 1 species